rnacentral:rRNA from 1 species
UACGGAGGGGGCAAGCGUCGUUCGGAUUUACUGGGCGUAAAGGGUGUGUAGGCGGCUGCGUAAGUCUGGUGUGAAAUCUUCACCGCUUAACGGGAAGAGGUCACUGGAAACUGCGUAGCUCGAGUGUGGUAGAGGCAAGCGGAAUUCCUGGUGUAGCGGUGGAAUGUUAAAAUAUCAGGAAGAACACCUGUGGCGAAAGCGGCUUGCUGGGCCAUCACUGACGCUGAGACACGAAAGCGUGGGGAGCGAACGGG